GAUGAACGCUGGCGGCGUGCCUAAUACAUGCAAGUCGAGCGAACGGACGAGAAGCUUGCUUCUCUGAUGUUAGCGGCGGACGGGUGAGUAACACGUGGAUAACCUACCUAUAAGACUGGGAUAACUUCGGGAAACCGUAGCUAAUACCGGAUAAUAUUUUUGAACCGCAUGGUUCAAAAGUGAAAGACGGUCUUGCUGUCACUUAUAGAUGGAUCCGCGCUGCAUUAGCUAGUUGGUAAGGUAACGGCUUACCAAGGCAACGAUGCAUAGCCGACCUGAGAGGGUGAUCGGCCACACUGGAACUGAGACACGGUCCAGACUCCUACGGGAGGCAGCAGUAGGGAAUCUUCCGCAAUGGGCGAAAGCCUGACGGAGCAACGCCGCGUGAGUGAUGAAGGUCUUCGGAUCGUAAAACUCUGUUAUUAGGGAAGAACAUAUGUGUAAGUAACUGUGCACAUCUUGACGGUACCUAAUCAGAAAGCCACGGCUAACUACGUG
rnacentral:rRNA from 1 species